AAGAAAGAGGCAGAGUGGUGUGUGCCUGGCUUGAAACCAGUGAAUGGGGGUUCGACUCCCUCCUUUCUUG
rnacentral:tRNA from 1 species